rnacentral:rRNA from 1 species
UGGAAACGAUGGCUAAUACCGCAUAAUGUCUUCGGACCAAAGAGGGGGAUCUUCGGACCUCUCGCGUCAAGAUUAGCCCAGGUGAGAUUAGCUAGUUGGUGGGGUAAGAGCUCACCAAGGCGACGAUCUCUAGCUGGUCUGAGAGGAUGAUCAGCCACACUGGAACUGAGACACGGUCCAGACUCCUACGGGAGGCAGCAGUGGGGAAUAUUGCACAAUGGGCGAAAGCCUGAUGCAGCCAUGCCGCGUGUAUGAAGAAGGCCUUCGGGUUGUAAAGUACUUUCAGUCGUGAGGAAGGGUGUGCAGUUAAUAGCUGCAUAUCUUGACGUUAGCGACAGAAGAAGCACCGGCUAACUCCGUGCCAGCAGCCGCGGUAAUACGGAGGGUGCGAGCGUUAAUCGGAAUUACUGGGCGUAAAGCGCAUGCAGGUGGUUCAUUAAGUCAGAUGUGAAAGCCCGGGGCUCAACCUCGGAACCGCAUUUGAAACUGGUGAACUAGAGUGCUGUAGAGGGGGGUAGAAUUUCAGGUGUAGCGGUGAAAUGCGUAGAGAUCUGAAGGAAUACCAGUGGCGAAGGCGGCCCCCUGGACAGACACUGAACU